rnacentral:misc_RNA from 1 species
UAAUUGAAUUAUAGAUUUGGAUCUCCUUUGCAACAUGGGUUGUCUUCUUUUGAAAUGAGUCUGCGGUUUUUAUCCUGCGGGUGAUGUCUGUCAUCGCUCACCAAAACAACACCAUUUCCCUCUUCCAGUCUUCCCUUCUUUCACUUUUUUGCCCCUGUAUAGUCCUCCAAAACGCGGAUGCUUUCGUGGGUUGUUCGUCAUUUUGCUUUUCUGCUCUUCUCUUCUUAUCCUCCUCCAAGGCAAACUGUUCAUGUUCCACAGUUAACAAGCAAAGUGUCAGAAUGUGCAUGAUAAAUUUUAAGGGGUG